GCUGCCGGACGGGUAGUCGCUCCCGGCAACGGGGGAGGAAAGUCCGGUCUCCACAGGGCAACGUGCCGGCUAACGGCCGGGGGAAUCGCAAGGUUCUACGGACAGUGCCACAGAAAAUAUACCGCCUUAAAUGGUGGUGACAGGCCUUCGGCCUGUCACGCCGGGUAGGCUGAAAGGCCUGCCCCACCAGGUGAGGUAAGGGUGAAAUGGUGCGGUAAGAGCGCACCGCGGCAGGAGUAAUUCUGCCGGCAGGGAAAACCCCACGCGGAGCAAGACCAAAUAGGGGAGGAGGGGCUGCCCGCCCCGCUCGACUUCCGGGUAGGUCGCUAGAGCCGGAUAGUAAUGUCCGGCCCAGAGGAAUGACUGCCGCCCGCAAGGGUACAGAAACCGGCUUACAGUCCGGCAGCCUGC
rnacentral:RNase_P_RNA from 1 species